rnacentral:rRNA from 1 species
AGUGAACGCUGGCGGUAGGCCUAACACAUGCAAGUCGAACGGCAGCACAGUAAGAGCUUGCUCUUACGGGUGGCGAGUGGCGGACGGGUGAGGAAUACAUCGGAAUCUACUUUUUCGUGGGGGAUAACGUAGGGAAACUUACGCUAAUACCGCAUACGACCUACGGGUGAAAGCAGGGGAUCUUCGGACCUUGCGCGAUUGAAUGAGCCGAUGUCGGAUUAGCUAGUUGGCGGGGUAAAGGCCCACCAAGGCGACGAUCCGUAGCUGGCCUGAGAGGAUGAUCAGCCACACUGGAACUGAGACACGGUCCAGACUCCUACGGGAGGCAGCAGUGGGGAAUAUUGGACAAUGGGCGAAAGCCUGAUCCAGCCAUACCGCGUGGGUGAAGAAGGCCUUCGGGUUGUAAAGCCCUUUUGUUGGGAAAGAAAAGCAGCAGGUUAAUCCCCCGCUGUUCUGACGGUACCCAAAGAAUAAGCACCGGCUAACUUCGUG